rnacentral:piRNA from 1 species
UAAGGUUGCAUUCAGUCUGUGGCGCGGU